UGUAUGACUCCCGGCAAUGAAUAUCUUGGCUCUUGCAUCGAUGAAGAGCGCAGCAAAAUGCCAUACGUGGUGUGAAUUGCAGAA
rnacentral:rRNA from 1 species